UACGAAGGGGGGCUAGCGUUGCUCGGAAUCACUGGGCGUAAAGGGUGCGUAGGCGGGUCUUUAAGUCAGGGGUGAAAUCCUGGAGCUCAACUCCAGAACUGCCUUUGAUACUGAAGAUCUUGAGUUCGGGAGAGGUGAGUGGAACUGCGAGUGUAGAGGUGAAAUUUCGUAGAUAUUCGCAAGAACACCAGUGGCGAAGGCGGCUCACUGGCUCGAUACUGACGCUGAGGUGCGAAAGCGUGGGGAGCAAACAGG
rnacentral:rRNA from 1 species